rnacentral:rRNA from 1 species
UCCGUAGGUGAACCUGCGGAAGGAUCAUUACCUAGAGUUUGCGGGCUUU